UACGGGGGGGGCAAGCGUUGUUCGGAAUUACUGGGCGUAAAGGGCUCGUAGGCGGCCAACUAAGUCAGACGUGAAAUCCCUCGGCUUAACCGGGGAACUGCGUCUGAUACUGGAUGGCUUGAGAUUGGGAGAGGGACGCGGAAUUCCCCAAGUAGAGGUGAAAUUCGUAGAUAUGGGGAGGAACACCGGUGGCGAAGGCGGUCACCUGGACGGAUACUGACGCUGAGACGCGAAAGCGUGGGGAGCAAACAGG
rnacentral:rRNA from 1 species